rnacentral:rRNA from 1 species
CGGUUCGCUGCCGACAACGUCGCGAGAAGUCCACUGAACCUUAUCAUUUAGAGGAAGGAGAAGUCGUAACAAGGUUUCCGUAGGUGAACCUGCGGAAGGAUCAUUGUCGAAAUCGAACGGAAGAACGACCCGCGAAUCGUCAUUGCGUACUAGAGAGACCUCGUGAGCACUUAACGCGCACGAGGCUCGCGUCGCGUCGGCGCGGGUGUACUCGAGACCCGCGUCGUACCGGCGAACGAACAACGUCAGCACGGAUCGUGCCAAGGAGCUGCAUGGAGAAAAUCGUCGUCCCACGCCCCGAUCGUCCUCGAUGCGGGACGGGGGAUGCACGCAAUCUCUGAUCAAGUCUAAACGACUCUCGGCAACGGAUAUCUCGGCUCUUGCAUCGAUGAAGAACGUAGCGAAAUGCGAUACUUGGUGUGAAUUGCAGAAUCCCGCGAACCAUCAAUUCUUUGAACGCAAGUUGCGCCCGAAGCCAUUCGGCCGAGGGCACGCCUGCCUGGGUGUCGUGAAUCCCCUUGCCCCUAGGCACCCGCACGAACAUCGGCGGGGAUAUAUGCUCGGGCGCAGAAUAUGGCCUCCCGUGGGAUCGGCAUUGCACGGCAUGCCGAGGUGCGGUUGGCCGAAAAUCGAGCAUGGCGGUGUCGGGCACCACGGCGUUCGGUGGAUCGAACGAGAUUGGCUGCGUCGUGGGCUCGGCAUGCUGCGGGCUCCGGACUUUGGCAAUCCCCGAGUGCGAUCCCAGGUCAGGCGGGGCUACCCGCUGAGUUUAAGCAUAUCAAUAAGC